CUCAACCGGGGGAUGGCACUUGAAACUGCGGAGCUAGAGUUCUGGAGAGGGUGGCGGAAUUCCCGGUGUAGGAGUGAAAUCCGUAGAGAUCGGGAGGAACACCAGAGGCGAAGGCGGCCACCUGGCCAGAAACUGACGCUGAGGCGCGAAAGCGUGGGUAGCAAACAGGAUUAGAUACCCUGGUAGUCCACGCUGUAAACAUUGGAUGCUAGAUGCGGGUGACGUAGAAGUCAUUCGUGUCGCAGCUAACGCGUUAAGCAUCCCGCCUGGGGAGUACGGCCGCAAGGCUGAAACUCAAAGGAAUUGACGGGGGCCUGCACAAGCGGUGGAGUAUGUGGUUUAAUUCGAUGCAACGCGAAGAACCUUACCUGGGCUUGACAUCCCGGGAACCCGCUGGAGACAGCGGGGUGCCCUUCGGGGAGCCC
rnacentral:rRNA from 1 species